UACGUAGGGUGCGAGCGUUAAUCGGAAUUACUGGGCGUAAAGCGUGCGCAGGCGGUUUUGUAAGCCAGAUGUGAAAUCCCCGGGCUUAACCUGGGAAUGGCAUUUGGGACUGCAAGGCUCGAGUGCGGCAGAGGAGACUGGAAUUCCUGGUGUAGCAGUGAAAUGCGUAGAUAUCAGGAGGAACACCGAUGGCGAAGGCAGGUCUCUGGGCUGACACUGACGCUCAGGCACGAAAGCGUGGGGAGCAAACAGG
rnacentral:rRNA from 1 species